GUGUAAAAACACAAUAUGCUGAACACAAACCAUGAUAGUGGAGAGCAUUGGCAGGUGGAGGUGGUUAGACUGUGGCAUUCAGUAAUAUUUUUUGUAAACUCUAGCAUGUUUAACUAGUCUAAAUUACAUGGUAAUGGUAAACUAUAAUUUCUGUCAGUAGUGUAUAACUUUGCACUGUUCAUUUCAUGUAGCCAGUUUGUUUGGAUUUGAGUCAGUUUAUAUACAGGGCAUGCAAGUGCAGAUGUUAGUUGGCAUAUUAAGCAAAGGGCUAUAGCACCACAUUACAUAGUUACACAUUACAGACCAUAUACCAUGUGCUUUAAGCUGCAGAUUGGUACUUGGUAUAAAAUGUAGUUUUGCCGUGUCUUUCUUUCAUUGAUUUUUAGUAGUCACUUAGGGACACUAAGCAACAAAGAUCAAAAUGUGUUUGAAAGCAGUAUGACAAGAAGCAGGGCUUUCCCAGCCACUUACAGACCCCAUCCUCAUUGACAAUGUGAAAUUUAAUACGAAAUUGACAUUGAAAAUGGUGAAGUGUACAUUCCUCUUUGUCAAUGGAACAGAGUAUUGCAGCGUCUCUGGACUCCAGGACUAUUAGCAGCUUAACCAUAACACACUUUUAUAUUCCCAGACCAUCUUUUGUAAAUGGUUUUGUCCUUAUUGAAUGUUUGGAUGAGGUGAUAGGUGUUCAUGACACAGCUGAAUAUGGGAAUUAUAAACAUUUUUUGAAUGCGGGGAAACAAAAUACACUUAAUAUGAGUAUAUGUUAUUGGAAAGGAAGCUCUAUAUAUUGCCAUAGCGUUGCCACUAUGUAUACCUGCUUGUUUCAAUGUCAAUUGAAUCUGGGCUUUUACACUUGACGACCAUGUUUGUAUGGUUAUUGACUGUCAGAUAUAUAAUUCUCCUAUUAGAAGUCUUGCAACAUUACACUGUAGAACACGUAACGAGUAUGAAACCAAGAUGUUGAUUGGUUUUUUUCUAGUGGUGCGUAGCAGAAAUAUUUCUCCUAUGGGUUAAAGUAAAACAUUUGGUAAGUGCUCUUUGUAAUGCUCUGGGGGUCUGCUAUGAAUUGCAGACUUGAGCAUCUCAGGCCAGCUUCAUUGCACACAAAUUUUAAGGUAGUUCUUAACCAAGGCGAAAAUGUUUAUCUAAGGCAUGUAUGCUAAUAGAUUAAUUACCUCUAACAAUAAAAUGUAUCUUCCAGCUAUAGUGAGAGGCUUCUGGCAUCCAAUUCCCUGUCCCAUUUCAGUUAACGGUGUAAUCAAAUCAUAUUAGCCAGAGUUCACUAUGCUGAACUGUUACCAAAGCAUUUCAUGGGAAUUAGACCCUAAAUUUGGUUAAUAGGUAAUGGGUGCAAUGGUACUUUUCUCUGUUUUGAUACAAGAACACAGUGGGAAAACAAGAUGCUCCUUAGCAACAUGUGCCCUGUGUAAUUGUGAGUGUAGAGUACUGCUGGUCACUGAAUUCUGAUAUAAUUGUUUGUAAACUGUACUGCAGAUAUGUCUCUUACAAGGAACUUGUAAUUAAAAAGCUGCUGAAGAGUCAAAGUUGGUUUCAUCUAAUUUUGUACGUGAUGUAAUCAGACUUCUAUUUCCUUAGUUUGCAGCCUAUAUUGGAGGGGGGAAAAAGUAUUAUUUUAUUAAUAAUGUCAAUACAUCGGUUUAGCACUAAAUACUUGACUUGGCAUGUAUUUGCCUUGUGGUAGCUUUAUGCUAUAAUUCUGAAUGUGGUUACAAUUGUUUAUGGUAAUUCCUCAUAUUCCAUUUUUAAAUUUGUCCCUCAUAUGCAUACUAAAAAUAGCUAAUUUAUGUUUUUGGAAUGGUUUAUAUUUUCAGCAUUUUUGUGCAUUCGGGCUGUUGACAAUAACAUUUUAGAAAUUAAUUUUAAUUCCAUUCCAAAAUAAUUUAUAAUAACACGUUUGUAUUGACAACUGUUUUCUGCAGAAAAGGCCAGGGAAAUAUUCUGCAAAUCAUACAAUUUGAAUGGAUGCUGACAUCACAUGCUUUCAGUGGCCUUUUUUUU